AACCUACGAAGUGAAACUCUUAGCCCUCGCGUUGCCUUACUUCAGUGAAGUAACUCAGUUUUAUUUUUUAAUCUGUCACGUCUCAUGUUAAAUGUAUAAGUCUCUGAACUCAAGCCUUACGCAGAGGAAAUUGCCAUGAGUACUCCAAGAUUCCAGUUUCUACUGUUAAGAACGCGAUGACAGAAAGCUGAUGGAUGGCUCCACCAAAUCAAGAAAAAUGAAGAGAGGGAAUACAGAAAAGAGAGCCAAUACAAGAGAAGAGAAGAGGAAACCCUGGAAUGAAGGAAGUUAAUUUGGGGAAGAUUAUUUUGGAUCCUACAGGGGAGGACAUGCAAAAAGAAAAAGGCAAACACACAGCUGAGAAGCCAUGACCUACAUCUCAUCAUGUCAAAAGCAACCCUGGGAAUAUUUUGCCAGAGAAAUUAUACUCAUCACAGAGCUAAAGGAGGUUAAUGACUUUAAAAAAAAAAAAGCUUAAUGAGGUUAAAAAAUAAAUCAUCAAAGGUGCCAGACUGUAUAUACUAGAAUCCACUUAUGCAAAACAAAAACAAACUCACAUAUAUGCUUAUACCCACUAUACAAAAUGUUUAAGAUACACACAAAACUGAUAACAGUGGCUGCUUAUAGUGAGGGGCUCUAGAAAUUUGGGGUGGGAGAGGCUUCCUUUUCAUUGUGUACUCUUUAUACUCUGAAAUUUAUUUUCCACGAGCCAUGUUUUCCUCUUAAAAUUGUAUUUCAGAUGAACAAGAAAGGUAAUGAUAUAAUAAACAUCUAGGUUCCCACCUCAGGGCUUAAGAAAUAAAACGAUUAAGACUUAAUUGAAGCCUCCGGCAUAGCCAUCCCAAGAGACAAUAGCUCUCUUGAAUUUGGUGUUCAUCCUUCCUAUAAAUGCUUUUACAUGUGAUGCUUUUUCUAUUAAAAAAAAAAAAAACUUAAAAAUAAGCUUCAGGAUUCUAGACUCUUCUAUGUCCACCUCCCACACCUACACAAAGUGAGGCUCCUGUUACGGAGGAAUCUGGUAUCCAAAGUGGAGUGUGAGAGAAGACUGGGGAAUAGGAGCAUCCAGAUUUGAAUUCAGCCUCCUGCAUUUACUCCCACCGUGACUUUAGGCAACCUCCGCCUCCUCUGAAAUCAUGCUAAGUACCCUUCCCAUAGUUCGAGGAUUCAACGAGAUCACAACGUUAAGGCCAUCGGUCCAGUGCCUAGCCUAUGGUGAAGGCUCAAUAAAUAUUAGCUAUUAUCAUUAUGUCUGCCCUCCUCCCAAGGGUGGGGGCAAGGAAGAUGCCUAAAUGUGGGGGAAAAAAGGUCUCAUUUCUAUCC